CACCGGCGGCUCGAGGGGUGGCCACUUUUAUUGGGUCUAAAGCGUCCGUAGCCGGCUUGGCAAGUCCCCUGGGAAAUCUGGCGGCUUAACCGUCAGGCGUCCAGAGGAUACUGCCAGGCUUGGGACCGGGAGAGGUGAGAGGUACCUCAGGGGUAGGGGUGAAAUCUUGUGAUCCCUGAGGGACCACCAGUGGCGAAGGCGUCUCACUAGAACGGGUCCGACGGUCAGGGACGAAAGCUGGGGGCACGAACCGG
rnacentral:rRNA from 1 species